rnacentral:tRNA from 1 species
GCGUACGGCUCAACGGCAGAGCGGACGGACCUUGUUCUGUGGGUGCGGGUUCGAAUCCCGCCGCACGCG